UAGGGAAUAUUAGUAAUGGGCGAAAGCCUGAACUAGCAACGCCGCGUGUGCGAAGAAGGCCUUCGGGUUGUAAAGCACUUUUUGAGAGGAUGAGGAAGGACGGUACUCUCAGAAUAAGUCUCGGCUAACUACGUGCCAGCAGCCGCGGUAACACGUAGGAGGCAAACGUUAUCCGGAUUUACUGGGCGUAAAGCGCGUGUAGGUGGUUUGGUAAGUAGGGCGUGAAAGCUCCUGGCUCAACUGGGAGAGGACGUUCUAAACUGCCAAGCUUGAGGAUGGUAGAGGGAGGUGGAAUUCCGGGUGUAGCGGUGGAAUGCGCAGAUAUCCGGAGGAACACCAGUGGCGAAGGCGGCCUCCCGGACCACUCCUGACACUCAGACGCGAAAGCUAGGAGAGCAAACAG
rnacentral:rRNA from 1 species